ACAAGUUGCCAAUUUGCAAUGAAAUACGGGCCCCAACGAUCAAAACCAGACCACACCAACACCCCACUGAACAACGAAAGCCACCCCACGCCAUCGACAUAUCCACCAGAAUGUUUCUUUCUAUCUUUCUUUCUAGACUAGACGUUUCUCCAAUCUCAAUAACGGAAAGCAGCCGGUUUCCAGAGACAGGAGUGCGGUGAGAUUUAACCUCUGUCACCCAUAUAGAUUAGCUUAAUUAUAUUAACUUUAAAGGAAUUCUUCAUCACUUUCUAUCGGCUAAUAUAGAUUCGAUUUUCAACAAUACUUUGCUUUUGUUUCUUUUUGAUUUUAUGAUUUCUGUUUUUCACAAAGCACUAGGACCUUGGAUUCAUAUUUGUCUGACCUUGGAUUUGCUUUGCCCACAGAUCCACUCAAUUCUUUGAAUAUGUUGAUUUCUUAUGCUCUUUUUAUCUUGGUUUAGCUCUUAGUCCAUUUGUUGUUUGGUGUUUUUGAACCAUUGAUUUGGCUAAAGUCGUUAUCCUAUUUCGUUCUAUCUUUACUUUCAAUAUUUCCCCUACUUUGCCCCGUCGCUUAUAAGUUUGUUUACUAUUGGAUUCUUGAAAUUUCUGUUGUUCGGUUUGUUUAUAGGUUUCAUUUUAUUUCAAUCUUAGUCAACGUAAUUUGUGUCUAUCUAAAUUGGGUUUUGAUUAUUAUUAAUAUUAAAUUCCUUUGUUUGGUGUCAUGGUGUUUUGUGUGUAUUUAAGGUUAGGGCUUGUGGCUAGUAGUUGUGAAUGGAAAGUGCAUGUGCAAACAUUAAAGAACAAUCUAGGCGAGUGUCAGCAAGGGGCGACAGGAGUUGGAUGCAAACUUACGAGGUGACUGCAACAUCAUCGUAUAUAUCAAGACAACUCCCGGAUUCUACUCACAGGAGUUGGUGCCUCCCAUUUUCCUAUUUCCCUUUAUUAUGUUAGUUAAAUUGCUGUAAUCUUAGUCCCCUUAGUAUAGCACGUUGUAGGUAUAAUGCUUGUGGUCCGGAAUGGAUGUGUGUGGUCAUGUCCUCGGGUUGAGGGGGGGAGGGGGGGGGUGGGAGGUAGGGUUAGGGGUUGGAUCGAGAAGCGAUGGAGAUAAAGGGAACAAGGGUAUCUAUAGGUUGCGAAUUGGGUCAUGGAACAGAGGGACAUUAAGGAGUAAGUCAAUAGAGUUAGCGAACAUCUUCUAGAAGAGUACGAUCAAUAUAGCAUAUUUCUAGGAGAUAAGGUGGGUAGGGUCAAGGGCCAAGAAUGUUGACAGGUAUAAACUUAGGUACUCAGGAGUUCAAAGAGGUAAGAAUGGAUACACACUUGGAUAAUCAAUACAAAGCAAGGAAAUGAAGAAAUGGGUAAGAAAUUCUUAACCACAAUCUUUAAAUCUUCAAAACCCAAGUGUAAGUGCAUAAAUCCUAGCUUCCAACCUUGUGCAUUCUAGCCCUAAGACUAAAAUAAGCCAAAAGAUAUCCACAAGUGAGCUGGUUUGUAUAUUAAAUGGUUUUGGGGAUGAGAACAUGUGAAAUACUUAAAGUGCCCAGGUCUAAUGCUCGUCGAUCACACCUGUGGAAGUAUACACGCAUGUGUGUCUUCGCAGAUGCAGAUAGACCAUCAUAGAACUGGAAGGUGAGUUGAGUGCUGGAUAUGUAGAUGUUGUCCUCCAAGUGCAGAUGUGGUCCUCCAAGCGCAGAUGCGUAUGCACUUCUAUGGUUCUUGACACGCUGGUGCGGUCCAAGGCAAAAUUUGUUCAGCUUCGUAGAUGCGUACUUCUCCCUGUAUGUGCUAGAUCACUUCUGUAAUCCUUGUUCCGCAGAUGCGGAAUUCCAGGAGAGUUUUGUGCUCAUUUAACCAAAUUUUCCUCAAUUCCAGUUCAAUUCAACACAAAUCACUUUAUGACAUCAUUUUACUGAAAGUCGAACAAUACAUACUAUAAACGACCUCAUGUUAUCGUUAAAUGAUGAAAAAUCUAAUGAAAAGAUGCUAAAAUAAGUGGUAGAAUCACCACUCACAGUCCCUAUUCUUCAUAUAAUUUCUGUAGUGAUACUAAUAUUGUCUCCUUUUGUUUUUUAUUUACUUGAGCUGAGGGUCAUUUGUAAAUAGCAUCUCUACUCCUUCGGGGUAGGGGUAUGGUCUGCGUACACACUACCCUUCCAAGACCCUACUAGUAAAAUUUUACUAUAUUUUGUUGUUGUUGUUGUUGUUAUUAUUAUUGUUAUUGUUAUACGAUACAAGGUACCAUAUGACCAUAGUAGUACAAUGUAUAAAGUAUAUUAAAAAUAAAUAUAAUUUUAGGUAAUUUGAGAUAAUUUUUAAGUUAUACGGGUAAUUAACUAAUUACUGAAUAAUAGAACAUUACCCAGUUAACUAAUAAGUGAAAAAAGUUAAUAAACUAAUCCCCAAAAUAUGGCAUAAAGCCACAAUGACUAAACAUGACUCUUAGCCAUGUAUACCUAGGUGGUUACCUAUGAAUAAAUGGGAACUUAAUGAAACAAGACUUAUAAAAAAGUCAUGUUAUAUUUCUAUAUUAGAAAAAGCAAGAACCAAAUAAACAUAAACUAUCAUAAAGGAAUUUCCUAUCUUAUUUGUUUGAAUGCUUCAAAGAUAGAGGCUUAAGAAUUCGUUCAAACAACUUCAAAGAAUGAGAAGAAAAUUUCGUUCAAGAAUUUCAAGAAGCAGAAGCAAAUUUUGUCUGAGAAUUUCAAAAAGCAAAAGCUUAAUCAAAUUUUUUGAGUUCUAAGAAAUAUUAUACGGAGUUUUCCCUACUCUAGGAAUGUUAAGGCUAUUUCUUUUUUCUUUUGGCAUGGUCCAAAUUAUAUAAAAGAAACGAUAAAACAUACAGUUUUCAUAAAAUACUUUUUUCAUAAAAAUAUUAGGGAUGUCUAUAUUCUUGAUUCCAUAUGAGAAUUAUUAUUAUCUUCUGUUCAUGGGUCUCAGAAAAUACGCAGUUGAAAAAGUUUAUCCGGAAGGAAUAUUGAGAUUAUUACAUAUUUUUCAUGAAUUUCACCCAUUUAUACACGUGCAUUAACCUAUGACCUGAUGGCGUUAUAUAUGCAUAUAUAUGUAAAUAUAUGUAUAUAGGAUAUGGAAAAAGGUUACGAUGUUAUAUACGCACCACUACUUGAUCAGUUGGUAUAUGUUGAUGAUAUGUCCUACAGUGGCCAAGACGAUCUGAUGGGAUUCCCUCAAUUGCUUGAUGAUAUUAUGUACACAUAUACCUAUGCGUGAUACGAUAUUAAUAUGUAUGGGCAUGACACUAUGAAUGUUCCAGAAUUUACAAAGUUAUUUAGAUUUACAGAUGGAUUUCUUUAUUAUAUAUUUCGUCUAUGUCAUUUACGUUCUAAUUUUCAUGCCUUAUAUACUCAGUACAUUAUUUGUACCGGCAUUGUAUUUUACGCAGCCUACAUUUCAUGUCCUCAAGUGCAGCUAGGCAAGCUGACGGUCCCACUUCUUACGAUCCAUGAUCUGCGAGAGUUGGCGCAUUCCACUUGAUCCAGAGCUACCUUUUGUUUUUGUAUGAUAUGUUUGUAUAUACAUAUAUGGGUAUGAUAUGGCUCAUUCCCAUCUUUUUACAGAUAUAUUUCUAUUAAAGGUCUGUAGACAUCUAGUUGGGUUGUAUGUGGCCUUGUCGAUUUUCAGUUUUGGAUGUAUACUUGACUUUAGCAGCUUUGCCGGCUCGCGCAAUAUAUUCUACAUGUAUACGUACAUAUACCUUUGUGGAAGGUUUCCU
rnacentral:lncRNA from 1 species